GACAGCAGUCGCCGCGGUAAUGCGGAGGGUGCAAGCGUUACUCGGAAUCACUGGGCGUAAAGGACGCGUAGGCGGAUUAUCAAGUCUCUUGUGAAAUCUAACGGCUUAACCGUUAAACUGCUUGGGAAACUGAUAAUCUAGAGUAAGGGAGAGGCAGAUGGAAUUCUUGGUGUAGGGGUAAAAUCCGUAGAUAUCAAGAAGAAUACCUAUUGCGAAGGCGAUCUGCUGGAACUUAACUGACGCUAAUGCGUGAAAGCGUGGAGAGCAAACAGGAUUAGAUACCCCGGUAGUCCCUGUCUCUUAUAC
rnacentral:rRNA from 1 species